AUGAAGGACGUUACUAACGACGAUAUGCUUUGGGGAGCUGUAAGUAAGCUUUGAUCCAGAGAUUUCCGAAUGGGGAAACCCAGCAUGAGUUAUGUCAUGUUAUCGAUAUGUGAAUACAUAGCAUAUCAGAAGGCACACCCGGAGAACUGAAACAUCUUAGUACCCGGAGGAAGAGAAAGAAAAUUCGAUUCCCUUAGUAGCGGCGAGCGAAACGGGAAGAGCCCAAACCAACAAGCUUGCUUGUUGGGGUUGUAGGACACUCUAUACGGAGUUACAAAGGACGACAUUAGACGAAUCAUCUGGAAAGAUGAAUCAAAGAAGGUAAUAAUCCUGUAGUCGAAAAUGUUGUCUCUCUUGAGUGGAUCCUGAGUACGACGGAGCACGUGAAAUUCCGUCGGAAUCUGGGAGGACCAUCUCCUAAGGCUAAAUACUCUCUAGUGACCGAUAGUGAACCAGUACCGUGAGGGAAAGGUGAAAAGCACCCCGGAAGGGGAGUGAAAUAGAACCUGAAACCGUGUGCUUACAAGUAGUCAGAGCCCGUUAAUGGGUGAUGGCGUGCCUUUUGUAGAAUGAACCGGCGAGUUACGAUUUGAUGCAAGGUUAAGCAGUAAAUGUGGAGCCGUAGCGAAAGCGAGUCUGAAUAGGGCGUUUAGUAUUUGGUCGUAGACCCGAAACCAGGUGAUCUACCCUUGGUCAGGUUGAAGUUCAGGUAACACUGAAUGGAGGACCGAACCGACUUACGUUGAAAAGUGAGCGGAUGAACUGAGGGUAGCGGAGAAAUUCCAAUCGAACCUGGAGAUAGCUGGUUCUCUCCGAAAUAGCUUUAGGGCUAGCCUCAAGUGAUGAUUAUUGGAGGUAGAGCACUGUUUGGACGAGGGGCCCCUCUCGGGUUACCGAAUUCAGACAAACUCCGAAUGCCAAUUAAUUUAACUUGGGAGUCAGAACAUGGGUGAUAAGGUCCGUGUUCGAAAGGGAAACAGCCCAGACCACCAGCUAAGGUCCCAAAAUAUAUGUUAAGUGGAAAAGGAUGUGGCGUUGCCCAGACAACUAGGAUGUUGGCUUAGAAGCAGCCAUCAUUUAAAGAGUGCGUAAUAGCUCACUAGUCGAGUGACACUGCGCCGAAAAUGUACCGGGGCUAAACAUAUUACCGAAGCUGUGGAUUGUCCUUUGGACAAUGGUAGGAGAGCGUUCUAAGGGCGUUGAAGCAUGAUCGUAAGGACAUGUGGAGCGCUUAGAAGUGAGAAUGCCGGUGUGAGUAGCGAAAGACGGGUGAGAAUCCCGUCCACCGAUUGACUAAGGUUUCCAGAGGAAGGCUCGUCCGCUCUGGGUUAGUCGGGUCCUAAGCUGAGGCCGACAGGCGUAGGCGAUGGAUAACAGGUUGAUAUUCCUGUACCACCUAUAAUCGUUUUAAUCGAUGGGGGGACGCAGUAGGAUAGGCGAAGCGUGCGAUUGGAUUGCACGUCUAAGCAGUAAGGCUGAGUAUUAGGCAAAUCCGGUACUCGUUAAGGCUGAGCUGUGAUGGGGAGAAGACAUUGUGUCUUCGAGUCGUUGAUUUCACACUGCCGAGAAAAGCCUCUAGAUAGAAAAUAGGUGCCCGUACCGCAAACCGACACAGGUAGUCAAGAUGAGAAUUCUAAGGUGAGCGAGCGAACUCUCGUUAAGGAACUCGGCAAAAUGACCCCGUAACUUCGGGAGAAGGGGUGCUCUUUAGGGUUAACGCCCAGAAGAGCCGCAGUGAAUAGGCCCAAGCGACUGUUUAUCAAAAACACAGGUCUCUGCUAAACCGUAAGGUGAUGUAUAGGGGCUGACGCCUGCCCGGUGCUGGAAGGUUAAGAGGAGUGGUUAGCUUCUGCGAAGCUACGAAUCGAAGCCCCAGUAAACGGCGGCCGUAACUAUAACGGUCCUAAGGUAGCGAAAUUCCUUGUCGGGUAAGUUCCGACCCGCACGAAAGGCGUAACGAUUUGGGCACUGUCUCAACGAGAGACUCGGUGAAAUCAUAGUACCUGUGAAGAUGCAGGUUACCCGCGACAGGACGGAAAGACCCCGUGGAGCUUUACUGUAGCCUGAUAUUGAAAUUCGGCACAGCUUGUACAGGAUAGGUAGGAGCCUUUGAAACGUGAGCGCUAGCUUACGUGGAGGCGCUGGUGGGAUACUACCCUAGCUGUGUUGGCUUUCUAACCCGCACCACUUAUCGUGGUGGGAGACAGUGUCAGGCGGGCAGUUUGACUGGGGCGGUCGCCUCCUAAAAGGUAACGGAGGCGCUCAAAGGUUCCCUCAGAAUGGUUGGAAAUCAUUCAUAGAGUGUAAAGGCAUAAGGGAGCUUGACUGCGAGACCUACAAGUCGAGCAGGGUCGAAAGACGGACUUAGUGAUCCGGUGGUUCCGCAUGGAAGGGCCAUCGCUCAACGGAUAAAAGCUACCCCGGGGAUAACAGGCUUAUCUCCCCCAAGAGUUCACAUCGACGGGGAGGUUUGGCACCUCGAUGUCGGCUCAUCGCAUCCUGGGGCUGUAGUCGGUCCCAAGGGUUGGGCUGUUCGCCCAUUAAAGCGGUACGCGAGCUGGGUUCAGAACGUCGUGAGACAGUUCGGUCCCUAUCCGUCGUGGGCGUAGGAAAUUUGAGAGGAGCUGUCCUUAGUACGAGAGGACCGGGAUGGACAUACCUCUGGUGUACCAGUUGUCGUGCCAACGGCCUAGCUGGGUAGCUAUGUGUGGACGGGAUAAGUGCUGAAAGCAUCUAAGCAUGAAGCCCCCCUCAAGAUGAGAUUUCCCAACUUCGGUUAUAAGAUCCCUCAAAGAUGAUGAGGUUAAUAGGUUCGAGGUGGAAGCAUGGUGACAUGUGGAGCUGACGAAUACUAAUCGAUCGAAGACUUAAUCAA
rnacentral:rRNA from 1 species